rnacentral:rRNA from 1 species
ACGGAGGGUGCAAGCGUUAUCCGGAUUCACUGGGUUUAAAGGGUGCGUAGGUGGGCAGGUAAGUCAGUGGUGAAAUCCCCGAGCUUAACUUGGGAACUGCCGUUGAUACUAUCUGUCUUGAAUAUCGUGGAGGUUAGCGGAAUAUGCCAUGUAGCGGUGAAAUGCGUAGAUAUCGGAAGGAACACCGGUGUCGAAGGCGGCAUCCAGGACCGAUAUUGACGCUGAUGCGCGAAAGCCAGGGGAGCAAACGGGA